rnacentral:rRNA from 1 species
AUGUUCCUGGAGCAAGAAGGAGGCCACGCCGCAUUGUUGCGUCCCUAUGCGACCUCCAAGCAGAUCGCGGUCGGAGCAAGCGCGCUGGGCUGGGUUGAUAUCUCACGCGGCAUUACUCCCCUCUGCGACCUGUUCGACGAGUGUCCUGUCGUAAAAUACAUCCCCUUCCCGGCGCCAGGGGUUUGCAUCACACCCUACUACCGUCUCACUCGUCACUCGGCGCAAUGCUUCCACGAUGUCGCCUGCUAUGACGGUCUGAUCAAAUUCGUCGAGAUAGGCUUCGAUGAACCUGACUGCAUGAUAAAGGGUAAAGGCCGGAGAGCCACCACAUGGAUCAGAAACAUCUGUUGGGGAAGUUGGCGUAAGCACACCAGAGUUGAUGUCGCUAACAUCUCGGUUGAUCCAAGAUAUUCUGCUCUGUUGCCUGAGCUGUGGAACCAUGAGACCCAUAAGCUAGAGCUGAAGAAACUGGUUUUCUUACUACCCACCCUGAGCGUGCGCAACGAUGAUCUUCUUCACAUCAUGGCCAAGGUGGGUGGGGAACAUGACAAGGCCUGGGUCAUCGCCGUUGACAUGAAAAGUGCGGUUGUGGAGGGACUAGCCCCGGUUUCGACCGGACGGUACUGCCCCAGUACAAUGUUCUCCCCAUGUGCCUUCCCCAGUUACCUCAACAACAUGACCCAAGGAAACAAGUCUGAAGAACCACUCGUUGGAUGUGAUGGAGGAAUCUUGGAAGAAGAGGAAAUUCAAGCCGAGCACAGGAUAAGAGGGCCUGAGAUGGGCAACCCAGUGGACAAAUACUUUAAGAGGAUGAGUGCUUCACAGUGUGCUCUGCAAGUGCUGUUGACUCAACGCUGGUUCAGGGAACUUGAUGAAUGGUUGGAUUCUCAGGGGUCAGCUUGUGAUGCAUGCUGCAAAUCACUACCUUACUGGUGUCCAGCAUCAGCUCUGUGUUUCGAUAUUAAGGCAGUGGUAAACUAUGCUUCCUAUAAUGGUGAAGGAGAAGGUGCUUCCAUGGCUGUAGAUUCCUGCUUACGAGCUUUGGACGAUUUCUAUAAACUACUGAAGGAGUCACCUCUGAGUGAUCCAUCAACAACUGAAGCCAUGAAGCGUCAAAUCAGGGUUGCCCUUGGAGCUCUAGACAGCAUCUUGGAAUUUGUACCACUAAACCGUAUGCCCAGGAGCAUACAAAAGGCGCUUGUAGAUGUUUGCCUGGAAGAAAAAGAAAAAACACUAGUAUGUGAACACUUGGAGAAGCCAGGCCAUACAGAGGAUGAAUCUGACGAAUGGCAGCAAUGGGGAUCAGACUCGGGGGACGAAUCGGAUGAAUGGCAGCAAGGGUCAUCCGACUCGGAGGAUGAAUCUGAUGAAUGGCAGCAAGUAGGACCCGACUCGGAUGACUCUGUAGAGACUCGCGGGGAGAAGCAGGCACAGGUUCUGGGUCGCCGGUCGGGGCACUCGUAUUGGCUGUAUUUUGUUGGCUGUGUGUUGGUAGCGGUCGCCGCAAGAGCGUUGAGUCACCUCACUUUAAUGUCAUAG